rnacentral:rRNA from 1 species
GACGAACGCUGGCGGCGUGCUUAACACAUGCAAGUCGAACGGUAAGGCCCUUCGGGGUACACGAGUGGCGAACGGGUGAGUAACACGUGGGUGAUCUGCCCUACACUUCGGGAUAAGCCUGGGAAACUGGGUCUAAUACCGGAUAGGACCCUGGGAUGCAUGUCCUGGGGUGGAAAGCUUUUGCGGUGUGGGAUGGGCCCGCGGCCUAUCAGCUUGUUGGUGGGGUGAUGGCCUACCAAGGCGACGACGGGUAGCCGGCCUGAGAGGGUGACCGGCCAAACUGGGACUGUGAGACGGCCGAGACUGCUACGGGAGGAAGCAGUGGGGAAUAUUGCACGAUGGGCGCAAGCCGGAUGCAGCGACGCCGGGUGAGGGAUGACGGCCUUCGGGUUGUAAACCUCUUUCAGCACCGACGAAGCGCAAGUGACGGUAGGUGCAGAAGAAGGACCGGCCAACUACGUGCCAGCCGCCGCCGUAA